UGACAGAAAAUUGGUACGAAAAAAGUUGGAUGGAUCUAUUCACUAUUCAAUAGGUCGCUUCAAAAACUUGGAAACACUUAAUCUUUACGGUAAUCAGCUUCUGGUGGGAUUCCUUCAACGCUGGGGAAAUUACAGCAUCUCAAGUAUUUGUACCUUUCAAGCAAUUCGUUGACCGGGUCUAUACCUCCAAGCCUGACAAAGUUGCAGAAUCUGGAAUAUCUGGAUCUUUCCAGCAACGAUC